rnacentral:rRNA from 1 species
UAGGGAAUCUUCGGCAAUGGACGGAAGUCUGACCGAGCAACGCCGCGUGAGUGAAGAAGGUUUUCGGAUCGUAAAGCUCUGUUGUAAGAGAAGAACGAGUGUGAGAGUGGAAAGUUCACACUGUGACGGUAUCUUACCAGAAAGGGACGGCUAACUACGUGCCAGCAGCCGCGGUAAUACGUAGGUCCCGAGCGUUGUCCGGAUUUAUUGGGCGUAAAGCGAGCGCAGGCGGUUAGAUAAGUCUGAAGUUAAAGGCUGUGGCUUAACCAUAGUAGGCUUUGGAAACUGUUUAACUUGAGUGCAAGAGGGGAGAGUGGAAUUCCAUGUGUAGCGGUGAAAUGCGUAGAUAUAUGGAGGAACACCGGUGGCGAAAGCGGCUCUCUGGCUUGUAACUGACGCUGAGGCUCGAAAGCGUGGGGAGCAAACAGGAUUAGAUACCCUGGUAGUCCACGCUGUAAACGAUGAGUGCUAGGUGUUAGACCCUUUCCGGGGUUUAGUGCCGUAGCUAACGCAUUAAGCACUCCGCCUGGGGAGUACGACCGCAAGGUUGA